ACAGGAGAAACCCGCGUUCUAGAAACAGUAUUCAAGUUCACUUGUGCCUCCUGUCAGCCGAAUUCAUAUGUUGUGCAAGAAACUACACCCUUCUUUCUGACAAGAAGUUAAAGGUUUUUACAUUAUUCGUCAUUCGUUUUACAACUUUACAGAAGCAAAAUAAUGUUUUGAACUGGAAUUGAAUGAAUUAAGAUAAAGUCAUGAUCACCUUUCAGUGGAAAACCACAGGCUAAGUUGCAGAAUUUUCAUUCUUUAGAGAUGAAAAUGAUAAGCUUCAACUGAAUUUUGACCGUGAAAAUAAUGGUAAUUGAAAGAGAUCUAAAAGCAAGAGACAGUAUGAAGUUCAUGGGAAAUCAAACUUUCUGAACUCAAUCGCGAGAGAAAAAAUUACAGCUAAAAAGGCUUCAAAGGUCCCUUCCACUUGUCAGUCGAUGAACUUCAACAGCAAAUCAACCAACUUGAAAAUGACUUAAUGUGAAAUCUGAUUGUAAAGCUCUUCAAUCUACGAUGAACGAAGGUUUGGCAUCAACAUGAACAGAAACGGUAACCUCACUUGAAGUUAAAGUUUUCAGUUGAAGGGGUUUAAAAGAAGCCGCUGCAGGAAAACGUAAUAAAGGGGAUAAUCAGCCUGCAGGUGAUGAAACAAAAAUCCAGGAUUUAGUCUUUGUCGCCCUCGAGUCCUAAAUCGCUCUGAUUACAGCGUAGCGGUAUACUUUGGAAGUCAAAAUAAUAUUAGACAAGCGGACCGGAGGAUCUUUUUUUGGACAAACUGGUGCGUAAUUUCAAAUGGAAAGCCGUUCAGAAGCAACAUCAGCCAGCCACGUAUUUUCGUCAACGCCAGCAGCCACAAUUGACGGACAUUCGAUUAUUAAAAGAAGACAAUUUUGCUGUACAAGAUGACAAGGUCUUGUUCUUGUAUUUCGAAAUGUAACUAACUCGUUAUUGAGCUUAAUUUAAGAGUUCGAAAUGAAAACGAUGGUUUACAAAUAUUCUGA